CAAGAGAACCGGAACACAGGGUGCUGCAUGGCUGUCGUCAGCUCGUGUCGUGAGAUGUUGGGUUAAGUCCCGCAACGAGCGCAACCCUUGUCAUUAGUUGCCAUCAUUUGGUUGGGCACUCUAAUGAGACUGCCGGUGACAAACCGGAGGAAGGUGGGGAUGACGUCAAGUCCUCAUGGCCCUUAUGGGUAGGGCUUCACACGUCAUACAAUGGUCGGUACAGAGGGUUGCCAACCCGCGAGGGGGAGCUAAUCCCACAAAGCCGAUCGUAGUCCGGAUCGCAGUCUGCAACUCGACUGCGUGAAGUCGGAAUCGCUAGUAAUCGUGGAUCAGCAUGUCACGGUGAAUACGUUCCCGGGUCUU
rnacentral:rRNA from 1 species